AAUAAAACUUGCUUAUGUUCGAGAUCUUUGCUCAAGUUCUUUAAAAAAAGCUAAAGGAUAUUGACUCGAUAGUUCGCGGUUGGCAGGAAAGGAAGAGGGAAGGGCUUACCAUUAAGUGUCUGUGAUAAAUAUCAAAGUCUGUAAAAUAUACAUGUUACGUAAACCCUAAUUGCAAACAUCACUGAACCUGCAACCGGUCUAUAAUAUACUUUUUUAUUAUAAUAAAUAAAAGAAGAUAUAAAAAAUGAUAACGACGUCUGAAAAAGUAACACUCCAAAAUAAUCAGCCGGUCUUUACUAUAUCAGCAGGCACAGUAUGUUUUUUUCUGAUUAUCAUCUUUACAUCGGAAAAUAAUUGAUGCUUAUCAAAGACGUUAACUCUUAUUGGUCAACAAAACAAACUCAAGUUUCCUCGGCGUAAAAUUUCUCACGUGUUAUACAUGGAGACGCUAAUUGACAUCCCGUGUUUUUUCCCCGACGAUUCAAAUGAUGUUGAACAGUUUCAUACGUAUUCAGUCUAGUGGUUAGUCUAGCUUAUAACUAUGUUAAUAAUGAAACUACAAAAUGCUAUCAGGUGUUCAACAUUUUGUUAAGAACGUUUAUAUAAUUAUUUCUGUUUAGUUUAGGCCAAAUGAAUACGUCACAAAAUACCUUGCAUAAAACUUUGCAGACAUAGAUAUUUUUAAACACAAGCAUAAUUAUCACAUAAUAUUACGUGAAUCCUAACAUAAACCACCUGUUCAUAGCUUGUGCUUUAUAACCGAUCUAUUCUCAAUAUUUAUGAAAAUGAAACUGUGAAACUGUGAAAGUUUCAGGUGUCAUGUUACAUAACUCAUUAAAUGAAAAGUCAUUCAAUAAGUUUAUCAUAUUCAAUGAUCUUACUUUGCUUUUAAUUUUCCGGGGAGGUUAAAGACCGUGACUUCGAAUUACUACUUUUAGUUCGAAGCCCUCAAGACACGUAGAAGUUUUCAUUCGAGGAAAACAUUCCGCUGGCUUACAAAAUGUGUUUUUCCUCUAUCAUUUAAGCGGGAACCUCGCCAUUGCGUCUCUGUGUUAUAUUAGUCCAAUCCUUACAAACAUUUUUAAUUAUGUCUAUAUUUUAUGUAAUAUGUAUGUUGAUGAAUUCAAUAUGUCCUUUCUUGAAAUGUAGAUUUCUGUUACUAUCUUUUCACACUUUGUUUAAAAUGGAGAAAGAAAUGAUAUCAGCUGUAUUUUUAUAACAUUGCAAUUUAUUCAACUUGUUAGCAUACAGUAUAAGAGUUAACAAAUGUUACAGUACAUCACCAAUGGUACUUUUUAUGACCAUUGCAGUGAUGAGAACUCAUGAAGAAGUGAACACACUCAAAAGGUGGAAAUAUCAUUACAACAUCUACUGUAGUAUUCACUUGUCUUUGAUUGGACAACAUUGCAGUUACCUUUGUUGGGAUGUCAUCAGCUUUGGUCUCCGAUACACUGAAAGUUACCAACGGUGGUGACCUGGGUACAUGGGGCGAACCACAGUAUUGUGCUACUAACACAUACGCUACAGGCUAUGACAUGAAGGUAUCAACAGAUGUGUUAAUACAUCACCGAACUAGUUUAUGAAUUAACUACAUAAUGAACUUUUAUGCUAAUGGCAAUAGUAACACGAAAGGAAAACAAAUCACAAAACGGUUAUUGUCAUCCAAUUAACUCUUAUUGUAAUAAUUAUAUAGAACGCCUGUCGCUGAUAAAUCUAUUUACAGGAUCAUCGAGAACUCUGUAAUAGCAAUCGGUUCAAAGUGGCUUCGUAGAGAAAUUAAACAAAAAGCACAGA
rnacentral:lncRNA from 1 species